GGCGGUGCUGGUGGGAGGCCGUGGUGAUCAGACUCGUGGGCUGGAGCCCGGACACGAGAGCGCCCAGGGAAGGUGAUCAUUCGCAGUUGAGCCCGAGUGUGACAGCUGCCUGGCGGUGUUGACGGUGAUCCUGUAACUGGCAGAGCUUUCCUCUUGGUCUUGGAGAGAAUUUCCUGGAGCACUUGAAGAAGCCACGGGUCCUGGGAGGGCGUUCUGAGAGGCUUCACACCCCAUCCAGCCAGUCUCCCUCGGACGGUAUCCCGGAUUUACCACUCUGCGCCACAGGCCUGGGAUUAGGGUACCGGUGACCCCAGUGCUGUCAGCAGCUCUGGGUGGGCCUGUUUGUGCACAGAAGAAGGCUCCUGCCUCUUGUCUGACACUCACUGUCGCUUUGCCAGCCACUCCUUCCCUGCCAGGGACAGUGGGUCCUCCUGUAUUUUGUAGCUGCAGGAGCUGUGUCUCAGGUGGGGCUGAGAUGAUUCCCCAAGCGCACAGCCAGGAAGCACUUGAUCCCUUGGCAUUUCGACCCCAGGCCUGGGACAGUGCCCCUCGGCUUUUAUGUUCGUUUUCCCUGUGCUGACGCCCGAGGGGCCCAGGCAGCCCUGCCCUGGUAGGUGGGUUGACCCAGCUGCAGACCAGGUCCCUGGAGGUUGUCUUGAGCCUCACGUCCCAGCGAAGCCCCGCACCUGUCCGCUGGCCUCCACCAGCACCUCCUGCGUUCACAGAGCCACUCGCAGCCCUGAUCGCGCUGGGUUCCGUCUUCCUGGCCUUGGCUUGGGUGGCUCCCUGCGCCACUCUCCUCCACCGGCAGACUUCUCCCUGUACUUCGGAGCCUGGCCUGGGGGCCUCCUGCAGAGGCCCGGGAACCUGUCAGCCUUCCAGGAUGCAGGCUGCGGGCUGACCUGUCGCUGACGUGGGCUCCCAGGCUGGACCUGCCCCGGCCCGGCAUGCGCCUCUCUGUGCGCAGGGCGCUGCUGGC
rnacentral:lncRNA from 1 species